rnacentral:rRNA from 1 species
CUGUGAGGCAUGCUGGAGGUAUCAGAAGUGCGAAUGCUGACAUAAGUAACGAUAAAGCGGGUGAAAAGCCCGCUCGCCGGAAGACCAAGGGUUCCUGUCCAACGUUAAUCGGGGCAGGGUGAGUCGACCCCUAAGGCGAGGCCGAAAGGCGUAGUCGAUGGGAAACAGGUUAAUAUUCCUGUACUUGGUGUUACUGCGAAGGGGGGACGGAGAAGGCUAUGUUGGCCGGGCGACGGUUGUCCCGGUUUAAGCGUGUAGGCUGGUUUUCCAGGCAAAUCCGGAAAAUCAAGGCUGAGGCGUGAUGACGAGGCACUACGGUGCUGAAGCAACAAAUGCCCUGCUUCCAGGAAAAGCCUCUAAGCAUCAGGUAACAUUAAAUCGUACCCCAAACCGACACAGGUGGUCAGGUAGAGAAUACCAAGGCGCUUGAGAGAACUCGGGUGAAGGAACUAGGCAAAAUGGUGCCGUAACUUCGGGAGAAGGCACGCUGAUAUGUAGGUGAAGUCCCUCGCGGAUGGAGCUGAAAUCAGUCGAAGAUACCAGCUGGCUGCAACUGUUUAUUAAAAACACAGCACUGUGCAAACACGAAAGUGGACGUAUACGGUGUGACGCCUGCCCGGUGCCGGAAGGUUAAUUGAUGGGGUUAGCGGUAACGCGAAGCUCUUGAUCGAAGCCCCGGUAAACGGCGGCCGUAACUAUAACGGUCCUAAGGUAGCGAAAUUCCUUGUCGGGUAAGUUCCGACCUGCACGAAUGGCGUAAUGAUGGCCAGGCUGUCUCCACCCGAGACUCAGUGAAAUUGAACUCGCUGUGAAGAUGCAGUGUACCCGCGGCAAGACGGAAAGACCCCGUGAACCUUUACUAUAGCUUGACACUGAACAUUGAGCCUUGAUGUGUAGGAUAGGUGGGAGGCUUUGAAGUGUGGACGCCAGUCUGCAUGGAGCCGACCUUGAAAUACCACCCUUUAAUGUUUGAUGUUCUAACGUUGACCCGUAAUCCGGGUUGCGGACAGUGUCUGGUGGGUAGUUUGACUGGGGCGGUCUCCUCCUAAAGAGUAACGGAGGAGCACGAAGGUUGGCUAAUCCUGGUCGGACAUCAGGAGGUUAGUGCAAUGGCAUAAGCCAGCUUGACUGCGAGCGUGACGGCGCGAGCAGGUGCGAAAGCAGGUCAUAGUGAUCCGGUGGUUCUGAAUGGAAGGGCCAUCGCUCAACGGAUAAAAGGUACUCCGGGGAUAACAGGCUGAUACCGCCCAAGAGUUCAUAUCGACGGCGGUGUUUGGCACCUCGAUGUCGGCUCAUCACAUCCUGGGGCUGAAGUAGGUCCCAAGGGUAUGGCUGUUCGCCAUUUAAAGUGGUACGCGAGCUGGGUUUAGAACGUCGUGAGACAGUUCGGUCCCUAUCUGCCGUGGGCGCUGGAGAACUGAGGGGGGCUGCUCCUAGUACGAGAGGACCGGAGUGGACGCAUCACUGGUGUUCGGGUUGUCAUGCCAAUGGCACUGCCCGGUAGCUAAAUGCGGAAGAGAUAAGUGCUGAAAGCAUCUAAGCACGAAACUUGCC